GUUUAAAUAGUUUAAUUAAAAAUUUAAGUUUGUGGUACUUAAGAUGUAAAAGUUACUUUGAACU
rnacentral:tRNA from 1 species